UACGGAGGAUCCAAGCGUUAUCCGGAUUUAUUGGGUUUAAAGGGUGCGUAGGCGGCCUGUUAAGUCAGGGGUGAAAGACGGUAGCUCAACUAUCGCAGUGCCCUUGAUACUGAUGGGCUUGAAUGGACUAGAGGUAGGCGGAAUGAGACAAGUAGCGGUGAAAUGCAUAGAUAUGUCUCAGAACACCGAUUGCGUAGGCAGCUUACUGUGGUCUUAUUGACGCUGAGGCACGAAAGCGUGGGGAGCAAACAGG
rnacentral:rRNA from 1 species